CAUAGAAAGGGGAAGGAAGGUUGUGUGUCAGGUCACUUGCAGAUGCCUGGGAAGGUCUAUGUCCCUUGAGAAAGAAAUGCCUUCCAACACUGUCUUCAUAAACUAACUGACACAGGACUCAAAGGGAUUUCAUUCUAAGCUCUUCAUUCAAGAUGUUUCCAGAAGAGGAAGAAAGCUUUUAAAGCAUCUACUCCCCCAGCACAACAUUUGUUAUGACUAAUAUGCCUCUCAUGCUCUGAAUGAUAAAGAAGCAACUGUGCAGUGA